rnacentral:rRNA from 1 species
UACAGAGGGUGCAAGCGUUAAUCGGAAUUACUGGGCGUAAAGCGUGCGUAGACGGUUAUGUAAAUCAGGUGUGAAAGCCCCGGGCUCAACCUGGGAAUUGCAUUUGAGACUGCAUAGCUAGGGUGCGGAAGAGGGAAGCGGAAUUUCCGGUGUAGCGGUGAAAUGCGUAGAUAUCGGAAGGAACACCAGUGGCGAAAGCGGCUUCCUGGUCCAGCACCGACGUUCAGGCACGAAAGCGUGGGGAGCAAACAGG